UACGAACUGUGCAAACGUUAUUCGGAAUCACUGGGCUUAAAGGGUGCGUAGGCGGCUGUCUAAGUAGGGUGUGAAAGCCCCCGGCUCAACCGGGGAAUUGCGCCCUAAACUGGAUGGCUGGAGUGAGACAGGGGUGUGUGGAACUUCCGGUGGAGCGGUGAAAUGUGUUGAUAUCGGAAGGAACGCCGGUGGCGAAAGCGACACACUGGGUCUCAACUGACGCUGAGGCACGAAAGCCAGGGGAGCAAACAGG
rnacentral:rRNA from 1 species